UACGGUGGGGGCAAGCGUUGUUCGGAAUUACUGGGCGUAAAGGGCGCGUAGGCGGCAGGCCAAGUCGGGAGUGAAAGCCCGGGGCUCAACCCCGGAAUGUCUUUCGAAACUGGCCAGCUGGAGUGCGGAAGAGGCAACUGGAAUUCCCAGUGUAGCGGUGAAAUGCGUAGAUAUUGGGAAGAACACCUGAGGCGAAGGCGGGUUGCUGGGCCGACACUGACGCUGAGGCGCGAAAGCCAGGGGAGCAAACGGG
rnacentral:rRNA from 1 species